rnacentral:rRNA from 1 species
GAACCGCAGAGAUCUACGGUCCGUCGAACGACGUGUACCGGAUUUCUGCUUCCUAUCUUCCGGUCAAUCCUCGUCUUCCUUCGGCCCCUCAGGGGGUUCCGCGGGGGGGCGUACCAACGGGUUCCGGAUCGUUUACUUUGAAAAAAUUAGAGUGUUCAAAGCAGGCGUAACCUAGCAUCGAAUACAUUAGCAUGGGAUAAUAGAAUACGACUUUGGUCUUAUUUUGUUGGUUUCUAAGGCUAAAGUA